UAGUCUGUGAUUAGAGCUGAAAAGAGUCACGAGUCUUAACUUGUAUUUAGCACUCCAAGGAUAAAGUGUCCUGUGUGGUACUAAAUUUCUCCCUGUUGCUCUGGCGGUCUCCAGAAGGAACGGGGAGGCUUAUCGAGGAAGUAUGCCAUAUCCCAUCUAUCACUUGGUUUCAGGCGUCAUGAUCAAUUGACUGUACCAUAAACAACAUGUUGCAUAUGUGGCAAAUGAUAACAUCAUUUAACUCGACACAGGGUUAUGCAUUUUUGGAAGGAAUACUAUACAAGUGAUAUUGUAUCCAUCUUAAUGCAUCACAUCAGGAGACAGUGCCUGAAUCUUCCCUGACUUCAUGAAGGAAUAAGGGAUGACUGAGAUGAACGCUGACAGAGUAGCCAGGACAAGGCCAAGAUGAAAGAGGCUGAUUGUAUUCAUGACUGACUGCAAGUUGGAGAUGCAGGCUCUUAUCAAGUCUGGAAGACCACCCACUGAGGAUGAAUAUAAUCAGAAGACCCUAGGACUUGGCUGGCAACCAGAUGGAAGGAGCUUAGGUUCCUGAAUGGAGAAAAACAACCUGUCAAUCUGCAUCACUCUCAUUGGACCAAUUGAAAACUGGAUUUACUCAACUGCCGUGACAUCACCUUUCAUCAAGCAACGAUGGCGAAACUUCGCAUUUUGAAUUCAUUAUGUCAACAGCAUGGCAAGAAUGGAAGCACAUUUCCUCUCUGCACUGCUUAUGGCAUCUGUGCAAAGAGGAAUUGUGGACUGAGCAACCAAAGUGGUGGAGGGAUCCAGCAGGAAUGAGAAGAUGAAUGACUGUCUUUCUGAAACGGAGACACUAAGAAGAGUAUAUGCCGUCUGUCUGUGAUGCCGUCACACCUAUGAGUUCUAACUGGAGGACAGGGGCAACUAAAUGAGAGGAGGCAUCAGGAAUCCCAUGUGGCAAAUUCACGUCAUCUUCAUGUCAGUCAGAUGCAAGUGAAGACUAAGCAGGUCUAGGCCACAGACAAGGAGCCUCUGAAAGUCAAGACCACAUCAUCUUGAUGUUUUGACAUUUUGUCCAUGGCCUCAGCAGGCAGUGAUUUUAAAGAGCUCUCUACUGCCGUCUCAUGGUGAAAGAAUGAAUGGCUGGGAGUUAGGAGGCAAAGCUGGCUCUACCACUAGCAGUUCCAUCAUCCACAAGCCCUGGGAAAUACAAAAUGUCAUCCCACGUUUACCAUCUUCAAAGCCUUGAAAUACAGCUUGACUAUCAGCACUGAGACAAAAAUUGGCCAGUGAUCUUUUUCUGCAUUGACUUUGGAUUCAUAGAUGUGCAGCUCCCAAUCUACCUCUGGGGCUUGAAAAACAUCCUGGAAUUGGGAGGAAGUGGAUGUCUAGUUCAUGGCCACCUUUGAUUCUACACUCUUACCUGCAGCCAUGCACCCCUCUUUGCUAAUCUUCAGCCACCAGGUCCAUCCACAUCUCUGCAAAUGACCCAAUUUCGUUCCAUUUUAUGUCCUCAACAGAAAGAUUCCACAAUGACAACUGGGAAGCUUACAUGAAGCAGAACUGAGUUCCUGUGGUUAGUUAUAUGCGAUAUCAGAAACAGAAUGCCAUGGAGAUAAAAACAUGAAUUAAGCACAGACCCUGCACUCAAUGAACUUCAGGUCUAAUGGGAGAUAUGGACAAGUGCAUAUUGUUUAUAUUCAUGGAAGUGAAGAAGGAGAAGGAGAAGAAGAAGAAGAAGAAAAAAGGAAGAGGAGGAGGAGAGUCUGGCAUCCAUCCUUCCAAAACAGUUACCCUUAUGUCUCCUGGCCUAUGAAAACCAGAUCUCAGGGUCUAAAGGAGUCUGAGAUCAUUUAGAUCCUCCCUACCAUCAGAUUGAUGCCAAUUCAGCCGCCUCAAACAGAUUAUUUUCAAAGAACCUACCUCUUAUUCUCAAAAACAAAAAAGAAAAAAUAAAAGCGAGCUCAGAGAACACAGGAAAAGUUCUGAUACUGAAGGGCCUGGCACCAUAGUUGAAGAUAAAAGAGUGACACAUCUGUGUGUUUGUGUUUGGCCAUCACUAACAAGGUAAGGCUCGGGAGAGAUGUGCCUAUCUUUCCAUGAAGCAGAGGGUCAGCAAACACAGAGAAAGAACUCAAGCCAGGAAACAUUUAAAAGGAUCCUACUAAAAGAUAAAAAAAGGGAGACCCCAGACUGUGAAAGAUAGUAUUGUUCAAGGUAUGUGGAAGCAGUCCCAGUAAAAGGAAAAAAAAAAUCAAGAAAUAAAGACACCGCAAGUAGAGAGGAAUAAUGUCUCACACAUAACUCAAAGGUCAUAUGGCUGUGCUACAUCUACUUGGAGAGGUGAAAGAGGAAGGAGAAGAAAUUAUUUGAAUUUGGACUAGUGCCCAUAGGCUGUCCUGCAGGGACAACUCUCCCCUGGAAGACUGGUCAAUGCUUUUUUGUGGAAGGCUGAUUUUCUAAAAAUUAAUUUCUUUAUCCUGGUCUUAU